rnacentral:rRNA from 1 species
AAGCCAGACUCCUACGGGAGGCAGCAGUGGGGGAUAUUGCACAAUGGGGGGAACCCUGAUGCAGCGACGCCGCGUGGGUGAAGGAGUGCUUCGGCGCGUAAGGCCCUGUCAGUAGGGAAGAAAAUGACGGUACCUGAAGAAGAAGCCCCGGCUAACUACGUGCCAGCAGCCGCGGUAAUACGUAGGGGGCAAGCGUUAUCCGGAUUUACUGGGUGUAAAGGGGGCGCAGACGGCGAUGCAAGCCAGGAGUGAAAGCCCGGGGCCCAACCCCGGGACUGCUCUUGGAACUGCGUGGCUGGAGUGCAGGAGGGGCAGGCGGAAUUCCUGGUGUAGCGGUGAGAUGCGUAGAUAUCAGGAGGAACACCGGUGGCGAAGGCGGCCUGCUGGACUGCAACUGACGUUGCGGCUCGAAAGCGUGGGGAGCAAACAGGAUUAGAUACCCUAGUA